GACGAACGCUGGCGGCGUGCUUAACGCAUGCAAGUCGAACGGAAAGGCCCUGCUUUUGUGGGGUGCUCGAGUGGCGAACGGGUGAGUAACACGUGAGUAACCUGCCCUUUACUUUGGGAUAACUUCAGGAAACUGGGGCUAAUACCGGAUAGGAGCUCCUGCUGCAUGGUGGGGGUUGGAAAGUUUCGGCGGUUGGGGAUGGACUCGCGGCUUAUCAGCUUGUUGGUGGGGUAGUGGCUUACCAAGGCUUUGACGGGUAGCCGGCCUGAGAGGGUGACCGGCCACAUUGGGACUGAGAUACGGCCCAGACUCCUACGGGAGGCAGCAGUGGGGAAUAUUGCACAAUGGGCGGAAGCCUGAUGCAGCAACGCCGCGUGCGGGAUGACGGCCUUCGGGUUGUAAACCGCUUUCGCCUGUGACGAAGCGUGAGUGACGGUAAUGGGUAAAGAAGCACCGGCUAACUACGUG
rnacentral:rRNA from 1 species